GCAACUCGCCUACAUGAAGUCGGAAUCGCUAGUAAUCGCGGAUCAGCACGCCGCGGUGAAUACGUUCCCGGGCCUUGUACACAUCGCCCGUCACACCACGAGAGUUUGCAACACCCGAAGUCGGUGAGGUAACCUAUUAGGAGCCAGCCGCCUAAGGUGGGAUAGAUGAUUGGGGUGAAGUCGUAACAAGGUACC
rnacentral:rRNA from 1 species